rnacentral:rRNA from 1 species
AUCGAACGCUGGCGGCAGGCCUAACACAUGCAAGUCGAGCGAACAGCGGACGGGUACGUGAUGCUUGGGAAUUGCCCACUCGCGGUGGAUAACAGUUGGCAACGACUGCUAAUACCUCAUACGACUGUCUUGCCCGGGUGGGAUUAGCUAGUUGGUGAGGUAAUGGCUCACCAAGGCGACGAUCCCUAGCUGGUCUGAGAGGUUGAUCAGCCACACUGGAACUGAGACACGGCCCAGACUCCUACGGGAGGCAGCAGUGGGGAAUCUUCGGCAAUGGAGGAAACCCUGAUGCAGCAAUGCCGCGUGUGUGAAGAAGGUCUUCGGGUUGUAAAGCACUUUCAGCGAGGAGGCGUUACUCGCAGAAGAAGCACCGGCUAACUCCGUGCCAGCAGCCGCGGUAAUUC